AUUUAUGUUAUCUACAUAUAUCCAUGGGAGGGGGGAUUAUGAGUUAAAGUUGUAACCUGGGGGUGGGGAAAGGCAGUCAUUUCUCUCUUGCAAGGCUAGAAAGCAGAACAAUAUUCUCCCUUCCUGAAAAUUAAAGAGAAGAACAAUAUCUUUCCUAUAGAACAACAGUGAAUGGGACAGGACUUCAUAAAAAUAUCUAGAUUCCUUCUUGUGAGGAAAAACACCAGUAUCAAGGAGCAAGUACCUAGCAAACCAGCUAUUUACUGCAAAUGUCCCAUUUCUUUGCUCUGUGAGUAUGAGAGAAGCAGUAGAGAGAAAAGGGAACUAUGCUAACUUGAGUAAUUAAUAUUCACAAUUAUUGCCUUUAAAAUAAAAAGUAGCAAAGGAUGCUGACUGCAGAAUUUGUUAGAAGAUGGCUGCCAACCAGGCAGUGGAAGAAGUGCCUCUUACUCUCCUGGCUUCACACAGCCCCAAAAGUGAGAACUUUCUGACUAGUGGAGACCAUGGCCCCCAUGGUGUCAGAAUGCCAUUGCGACACAGAGAACAAUGGCACCUAACAGCUGCUCCCUGACAGGGUUACCAUUCAACCAGCCAAGGGCAUCCCUGCUUCAGCACGGAAUGCAUCUGCUCCAGAGCUGAGUACCUUGCCAAAAAGGUAAGGUAUCACUGAGAUUUGAAAAGUUAGGGUAAAAAGACUUUAGGCAUUCUUAGUGAUAGCUCUUAGGUGUGUUUUUUGUUUUGUUUGUUUUGUUUUGUUUUGUUUUGUUUUGCCUAAGCUCCACAAACAUUAAGAUUUUCCAUGUAAGAAUUCCAUGUCUUUCCACUGGGAAAGACAAAAGCAAAUAUUCUUUCUGACUCAAUUUUUGUUCCUGGCCUGUAAUAGGCUUGGCUGUAUGAAUUCUACAACAAACUGCUACUAAAGAUUUCAAUUCUGCACUGCUGAUGAAGGAAUGUUGCAGAAACUUCAUUGCAUUUUGCAACCAAUAAUUUUAAUGCACAGUAAAAUAAGGCAACCAAUGCACUUUCCUACUGUUAUUUUUCUAUUACAUUAUUUUAAUCUAAUUCUUAGGAAAAUCAAAGAAAAACCAUGUAUGAUAUAGAAUAUCUCCAUUAUAAGGCUUAGCAGUGAAGUAGUUAACCAUGUUGAUCUGUAUGCUGCUAUAUUUAAGUUUCAGUGUUAACAUCCCUCUGAAACAAAUAGGUCUGAUUAUUCUUUUUAGAACCAAUUUUUCAUGUUCUGCAGACUGAGGUAUUGUCUACAUUAAGAACAUUUGCACCAUUAUAACUGCCCUAAUUUUAGUUACAUCAAUCCCACUCCCUGAUGUAGAUGAAUUGUACCUAACCACAUUAUUUUAUGUCUGUGCAGGUUGCUCAUGUUAGGCAUUUUCAACAAAGAACAACGGAGUUUCUUAGUGCAAAGUUUCCCAAAUGGGGAAAAAUAUUACAUGGCUUUUCAUUCUACAUUUCAAAGAUUGCAUUUUGAACAACAAAGAGUUAAAAUGUUUUUGAAAGAAAGUAAAAUAAAUCAAAAAUGAAAAUUCUCUGCUUGACUGUGGCAGCCCCAGCCCAAACCUUUGAGGAGUGUUUCUGCUGCAAGGACCCUCUGUUUAAUAGGUGUGGGCGUAUGGUCAAAGGCUGAAUAUACCAACUUUCAGAGUAGCCUGCUGAUAUCUCCACAGGUACAAAUGACUGCCCUUCACACCACCAGCAUAGUGCAAAAGGGGGUUAUGUUCCCCUGAGUAGGAACAGAUAUUUUCUGUUGGCACACUACCUAACUCAGGAGGGUCAGAUACCACGAUAUAAAUAUUUAAUCUUAAUAACUAGGGAGGAAAUAUCAAGGGGAUAUGUUAACAUGAUGCUCUCCAAAGCUUAUUACCUAUAAGCAAUAUCUUUGCCUUUAUUUUUUUUCAGUAGGUAGAAGAAUAGAAGCCAGAUUUUCUAAAUGUAGAAUCAAAAGUUGACUGAAGUCUGAAUUUCUAUGCCCAAUGGGACUGCAGCUGAGAAGUCCAGAUUUUCAGCUUAAGUUAUAACACGUGGAGAUUUUGCCAGUCUAAGGAGUUAGACAAUAAGAACGGGCUGGCAGUGGGAGAAGUGGGGUUUCGCAUCUCUCCCCACCCCUCCCCUCCCUGGAACACAACAUAUUUCUACCAGGAGUAAAAAUAAAUAAAUCCCCAGUUGUCUUGCUGUGCCCAAUUAGUAUUCCGUCCACAAGCUGUCCCAUCAGGGAAAAAUGCCGCCCUCAUACACGUGUUCAGGAUAGCACUGAUGGAUCUGAGGGCCUCUCCAAACACAGUGACCAUCUGCUAGGCAAAACAUAGGGGUCUGACAAGCAGGAGCCAUUCAGCCCUGUUGUUGGGCCACAUUAUUACAUAUUUGACAAGGGUAAUGAGAGGCUGUCAUUAACCUUACAUGACAGUCUCCACAAUGACACGCACUAAAGCAAGAACAAAGAGCAGAACUCAGUAAAAAGGCACCUACUUCUCAUUUAACCCCGGAAUUGUCAGACACCAUUAUUGCUAAUGGAGGCUGGCGGUCCUGGGGUUAAUUUCCAUCUCUGUGCUCUGCUUGUUCUCUUUUUGAAAUGUACUCUUCGUAUGGUUAAGGAAGCAGUUUUAUCAAUGCUAUUGGGAAGGCAAUGCAUUAUUUAUCAUAACACACUGAGAUGUAAGAACAGAGAGGGUCUCCUGGAGGAAUGAACAAACAGACAUAUUUCAUGAACCCUUCUGAUGAUCUGAAAAAAAAACAUUUCUGAGCUCAGUCUCUGAUAUUUAAGGUUAUCAUUGCCUAAGUGUGACAUUUCUCUCAUCUGCACUUCCUGCCAGAUUUCUGUCAAGCUUAAAAUCACAAGACUGUUUUCCUAGUGACCUUGUCACAGUCACCUGGCUUUAUACCCACAGGGAAAUCCCAUUGAGAAACUUAAUCGGUCUCAUGACUUUUACUUGAACAGCAGAUGUAGGGUGAGACAGUACUUAUAAUUUCCGGAAAUAAAAGGUCAUCUGAAUAUAAAAUCUCUGUCUCAGAUGUGAUGAUAUGGGUUACAGUCCUCUGCAAGUAGCGGAGAUCUUGUAACAGAGCUGUGUGCCACAUCAACGAGCUGAGGAGCGCAUUUAUUUCCAUGGUGACCUCCAGGCUGAACCUAGGACGGGGGGCUCAGGGGAUGAAUGCAAGCACUUGUUCAGAUGCUUUGGUAUAUUUGGAACAAAUGAUAGAAGUUGAAGUGAAGAUUAUGUCUCACUGCAGGAGACUCGGAGCUGGUACAUCUGGGCGUGAGCUCGCAGGAGUCACAAGGUUUGGGAACAGCUCAAGCCAAUGAGAAAAUAGGACAUCAGGUGGUGGGUAGCCGCAGAAUGAGGAUGCUGGGAGCUGUCGGGGGGAGGGGAUGCCAUCUCUGUGGAGAAGCUCUCUAUAAAUAGCAUACAAAAAGCACUUUCUUUCUGCACAAAAAAGUGAGUGCAGCAGCACAAACGCAUCCUUCCAGAGAUGCGAGCUGAGAGGCUGGGAAUGAGGCUGGGCAAAAGAUUAAUGCUUCUGUGGAGAAGGUGGAAGGUGAAAGUCACAAUUACAGGACAAACUAUUCCAGAAGUGAUUCCAAGCAAGACUGCCUUUUCCUAUUUCUCUUGGCAGUAUAUUAGCAGUCAUCAGAUGUUUACAGUCAUGUUUGCUACUUGUAAAGGUAAAAUACGUCAUACAAGCACAUUUCAGAGUGUGGAUUUCUAGGCCAAAUUUAACAUGAUGGCCUUUGCAGAGUCAGUUGCCAAUACCACAUGCCGUCUUCUUUGUUCUCUUGCUGGAGAGUGCCCUCUUCUCAUGCUACCCACUUGUAAAUAAGACUUGUUGCCGUUGAAUCAAGCAUCGUUUUUGUCUAGCUAUCCAGAAUUGGGUUUGCAUCAACAGCUGCAUUAUCAAAUCAUUGUUUUACAAAUACUCUUGAGGAACUACUGAAUGGGAGGCAGAACACGUGAAACUGAGUUCUGCUUUGAAAUGACAAAAUUGUUAGUAAAGCAAUUUUCCUUCUUUACCCAGCUUGGUUUCACACAUGCUUCCUGCUAGAGCUAUGAACAUUCCAUAAGUAUUGUUCUUACUAAUAACCAUGGGUUUGAUAGGGAAAUGGAGGUUGGGGGCAGCUUCAGAUGUAGCGAUCACGAGAUGGUGGAGUUCAAGAUCUUGAGUGGAAGAAGCAAACAAAAAAGUAGGAUUGCUACCCUGAACAUUAGGAGAGCCAACUUUGACCUCUUCCAGGACCUACUUGGAGCUAUCCUGUGGGCUAGGGUGUUAGAAGGUAAAGGGGCCUGUGAGAGAUGGUCAGCAUUUAAACAGCGUUUCUUCCAAGCUCAGGAUUGGUGAGUCCCUCUGAGUAAGAAAUCAGGGAUGGGUGGCAGGAGACCUGUGUGUAUGAGCAAGAAGCUCAUGUAUAAACUCAAAGGGAAGAAGAAGGUCCGUGAAAUGUGAAAAAAGGGUCUGACCACUUGGGAAGAAUAUAGGAAUGUUGUCAGGGCCUGCAGGGAUAUGAUUAGGAAGGCUAAAGCCCACCUGAGAUUGAAUCUGGCAAAGGAGAUAAAGAAUAAAAAUAAGAAAGGCUUCUUUAAGUAUGCCAUCAGUAAAAGGAAGACUAGGGAAAAUAUGGGUCCCCUACUAAAUGAGGGGGGUGUUCUGGUAAUGGGGGAUGCUGAGAAGGUAGAGAUACUAAAACACCUUCUUUGCUUCUGUCUUCACAGCAAAGACUCCCCCUCAGGAAUCUUGGACCCUGAAGGUAUGUGAGAGAGUCUGGGGAAUGGAAGGCUUCCCUUUGGUGAGGGAGGAGAUGCUCUGAGAGUGUCUGGGCAUCAUCAGUCUAAAUAAAUUCAUGGGCCCCAAUGGCACACAUCCAUGUAUGUUGAGGGAGCUGGCAGAGGUGGCUGCUGAACUGCUCUCUAUGAUCUUUGAGAGGUCUUGGAGAAUGGGAGAGAUGCCUGGAGGAUAGCUGAUGUCACUCUGGUCCUCAGAAAGGGCAAGAAGGAGGAUCCAGGGAACUACAGGCCAGUCAGCUUCACCUCUGUUCCUGGGAAGGAUAUGGAACAGCUUGUUCUGGAUGCCAUUUCCAGGCAAUUGAAAGAGAAGAAAGUUAUCAGGAGUAGUCAGCACAGGUUCACCAGGGGAAAGUCAUGCUCAACCAACCUGGUAACCUUCUAUGAUGUCAUCACUGGCUGGGUGGAUGGGGGGAGAGCAGUGCAUGUCAUCUACCUUGAUUUCAGUGAGGCAUUUGAUACUGUCUCCCACAGCAUCCUUAUAACAAAGCUGUGGAAGUGUGGGAUAGAUGAGUGGACGGUGAGGUGGGUUGAGAACUGGAUGACUGGAAGAGCUCAGAGGGUUGUGAUUGGCAACGCAGAGUCCAGUUGGAGGCCUGUAUCUAGCAGUGUUCCCCAGGGGUUGGUACUGGGUCCAGUCUUGUUCAACAUCUUCAUCAAUUACCUUGAUGAGGUGAUAAUGUCCACCCUCAGCAAGUUUGCUAAUGAUAUGAAGCUGGAGGGAACAGCUGACAUGCUAAGAAGGCUGUGCUGCCAUUCAGCAAGACCUGGACAGGCUGGAGAGUUGGGCAGAGAGGAACUAGAUGAGGUUUAACAAAAGCAAGUGUAGAGUCUUGCACCCAGGGAGGAAUAACCACAUGCACCAGUACAAGAGAACAACCUGCUGGAGAGGAUCUUUGCAGAGAGGGAUCUGGGUGUCCUGGUGGACAACGCGUUUGCCAUGAGCCAGCAGUGUGCCCUGGUGGCCAAGAAGGCCAAUGGCAUCCUGGGGUGCAUUAAAAAGAUCUUGGCCAGCAGGCCAAGGGAGGUGAUCUUCCCCUUCUAUUCUGCCCUGGUGAGGCCUCACCUGGAGUACUGUGUCUAGUUCAGGGCUCCCUAGUACAAAAAAGACAGAGGUCUCCUGGAGAGAGUUAGUGGUGGGCUGCAAAGGUGAUAAAGGGCCAGGAGCACCUCUCUUGUGAGGAAAUGCUGAGUGACCUGGGUCUAUUCAGCCUUGAGAAAAGAAGACUGAGGGGGGAUCUUAUUAACGUCUAUAGAUAUGUAAGGUGUGGGAGGCAAAAGGAUAAGGCCAGACUCUUUUCAGUGGUGCAUAGCAAUAGGACAAGGGGAAAUGGCGACAAACUGAAACAUGGGAAGUUCCACACAAAUGUGCAUAAGAACUUCAUGAUAAGGGUGACAGAGCACUGGAAUAGGCUGCCCAGAGAGAUUGUGGAGUCUUCUUCUUUGGAGACAUUCAAGACCCACCUGGAUGCCUACCUGCACAACCUGGUCUAGAGGCUGGACUAGAUGAUUUCUAGAGGUCCCUUCCAGCCCUUACAAUUCUGUGAUUCUGUGAUAAAUAGCAGAAAUAUUAGGCUAACUCACUAGCCAGCUCUACUCCUACAGAAGAACUUUUCUCUCAGUGUAGGAUUCCAUUCAUUAAUUUCCCCAGUAAAUGUUCAUUUCGAACUAAGGAUGACUGAAGCAUUUGUGCUGCAGUACUGUCAAUAUAUGGAUUGUGUACAGCUCUCUGUCUUCCCAUCUCUUUCCCUGCCCACAGCUCUUAUCUACCUCCUUCUACUCCUUGUUGUUUUCUCUAUCCUUAGUCUGAAAAAUUAUUGGCUUUAGCUCAAGACAGAGUAAUAGGAAAAUCUAACUUCAUCAUUUGAAUCUUAAUAGAUUGGUAUGAUCGCUAAUAAUGGUUGUAAAAUGAUACGUUUCAGUACGCGGCGAUGGCAGCCUUAACAAGUAUGCUUGCUUCUUUCUAGCACUUACAACAAUGAGAAUGAAGCCAAAUUACCCUUAGUUAGGAUUUGCUAGGCUGUCUAAAGCUGGUAGAGAUGCUUGACUCUGCUUGAGUCAGACUGUCCAUAUGCCUAUCAACAAUGGGAGAUGGCAGCCAUCUGAAAGACAGAAAUUUCUUUCUAACUUUUCUGAAUAUUUUAUGUGCUAGCCUUGCAGGAUAAAAUGAUUUAUGAAUAUAGAAGGAUCACCACUCCUAAAGAAAUCUUCAAAUAUAGUAUAUGCAUGAUAUUCCAGUGACUUUUAAUUCUGUGGAGAAUUUGAAGAGUCUGUGUUAUCAAGAUCCCUCAGGACAACAAAAAAGAUUUGAUAUGACUUUCCUUAAAGGGAAUUUUAAAAGGGUUCUUUAACUCUAAUUAGUGAAUCUACUUGGGAAUUCUCAGAAAUAGUAUUCUGUACUCAAAAAGAAAGAAUACCUAAUGGUUUUUCAUACAAAACAAAGUUGAUUUCCUCCUUUAAUUGCACAAUUCAGACUUAACUAAAGGACCAGAUUUGAUGAUUCCGUAUUAACAUGCGAUGAGUUCUCUCAGCACAUCUGAUCUUUAACCUUUUAUGAAUCGGACAUCACAUUUACCUGUAAGAUGUUUACAAUACAAAUUCAUACUUUUAUUUAUUUAUGGUCACUAUGUUUGUGAGGUUAUAUAAACCUAUUAUAUUUUCAUUUAAUAUUUCAUUUAUGUUUGGUAAUUAAAUACUCAUACUGUUAAUUGCUAGAACUGUUUUUUGUUUUCUUUUUUUCUGAAGCUGAGAUUAGUGGCUGUUUUGCUCCAGUGUUAUGUCAGAAAUCCUAUUUUCUAUGUCUUUUUGAGAGGUAUAUAUUCUGGUUAAGAUUCUUGCUGUGUUAUUAUAUUAAAUAAAGAUCAUCACCGUGUAAAUGAUAACACUGUACUGUUCUGCAGUCUCUUAAACUAUUGUAAAAGCAAAAAUCAGCUUGAUGUAGAGAUAGUGAAAUAAUAUACAGCACUGAAUUCCUCAAUGUAUAAACAAAUGAACAGAAUACAAUUCUGUUACAUAUUGCAUAACUUUCAUAAGUAGAAAUUGAUUUUAUCACUUGCCCAAGUAAUCUCUAUAUAUCCAGUCUUGGUCUUUCAUGAAGUAUGCUGCAUAUGCAAUAAAUAUGAAGAGUACAAGUGUGUCUUGCUGGCUUCAAAGAAAGGAAAAACAAGGUAAAAAGAAGGUAAAGGAGGAAGCAAUUAUCAAUACAAACAGAAACUUCUGCCAUCCCAGAAAAAAAGAAAAAAAGGAUCUAUAUUCUUUGGAACAUGAGACCAUAUAAAAUGAUUCAUACAUUUUAAUCAGAAGGAGAGACUUCAUUCUACAUGCUUAACAUAUAUUGGCAAGUUAUGCAAGUAUAAUGUUCUGCCUUUAAUUUAGCCUCAAACACUGCAAUGUGAAUCAGACUAAACUACAUUUAAUCAGAUUUCUGAUGAAUUAUGAAUGGACCUACGAAGAGACUGGGACAUUAAGCAACAGAUGACACAUAACUGCCCCAGAUGCUUCACCUAGGGUAAAAUCAAGUAACUGUAUUACAACUUCCUAAAAGCUGGAAGACUUAACAACCUAGAUUUGUUGAUACUUUAGGAGAAGAGGAUACUCCAGGGCAGAAGACCUCAUUGUUAAGACAGAAAUUACAGACUUGUAGAAAAGACAUCAAAAAUACAUUUUUCAUCUUUGGCAGAUAAAACAUAAUCAUAAUCGGAAUAACUAGAUUCCAAAUAAAUUACUCAAUGUGUAUUUUAUGCAAAACUAAAACAGGUCCAGUACAGGAUUUUGUAGUUUUCCCUGUGAUUAUCAAAAAUUCACCAAAGUGUAAGUCUUUAAAACUCUCACUUCUGUCUUCUGCUUUCUGUUUCAGUUUUGCAUACUCCACACUAUCCAUCCAGCUAAUUUUGUUAUUUAACUGCCUGCAUUCCAAAUGAAGGAAAUAAGAGGAGCAGGUAAAUGCCUAAUUUAGAGGUUCACUCUCUGAGGAAAUAAUGGACAGCACUGAAUUAGACUUUAUUUCCAUAUAAAACCAUGAAAAAUGGCAUCCAUUCUUAGCCAAGAAUUUGAAGACAAGACAGGAAAGCAGCACAGGGAUCCUGCUAAGCACUAUUAAAAGAUUAGUCAAAUACUUCUGUCAGUGAAAUCAUAUGCUUUUCACUAUCAACGUGUAGGCAGCAUUGUGGAUUUUCAAAGUCACAGGUAAAAUGAUUGACUGACACAGAAAAUUCUGACCUACCACUGUUGCGAAGAAUGACUGCCGUGUGGAGAAAGUGAUCUCACUGUCCCCCUGUCAGAGCAUUAUUUCAUCAAAGUACAGUGCAAGCAGUUCAGAAGUUAAGCUGUAUUUCUGUCAUUUCUCUCACAGCUCACAAAGGACUAUUAGCUUUCUGUAGCAAGUAGCUGCUGGCAACAUUGCCACUGCGUCCAGUUUCUCAAUCAACUUUGCUGGAGGGAAGACAGCCCUACACAAGACUUAAGUACACAAAGUAAGGCAAAAUUUUGUUAUAGUCCUAUAUGUAAAAUUCCAAGUCUUACAUACCAUAUAUACAGAUACUACAGAACUUCCUGAAUUCAAGGUUGUGAAGACAGAAAAGCUCCAGCAAUUGACUGGAGAGGAGCUCUUGCUAUCACUUUUUGAAUACCAUUUGCCAGUAGUGGUCAUUUGCUCUGGAGGAUGAACUUACUGGAGACUUCUCUUCUGUACUGUAUCACUGCUAUUGUCCUGGUUCCCACAGAAUAUUCCAAAAGCAGCCCAUCCUCCCACCCACUCUCCCUGUGUGUCAUCACUGGUAGACUGCAGUGACUAGGAGAAGAGGUAACUGUUUUAAGUUGUGCCAGGAGAGGUUCAGGUUGGAUAUUUAGAAAAUUUUCUUAUCAGAAAGAGUGGUAAUGCCUUAAAACUGGCUGCCCAGUGAAGAGGUAGGAUCACACCCUGUGGAGGUGUUCAAGGAGUGUGUUGAUAUGGCACUGACAGACAUAGGUUAGUGAGUUGGGUCUGAUGAUGACCUUAGUGGUCUUUUCCAACCUAAAUAAUUCUAUGAUUCUAUGACUUAUUUUCUUUCCUACACAGAUAUCUGUAACAAUAUGGUCCUUGUUCCAAACGCCCAUCCAUGUGAUGUUUGGAACAGCUUUCACAGUUUCUCUCAGCAUGGUCAAAGCCUACACUUACCAUUCUGAUGCUCACCACAGCUCCCCCUAUCCAUGCAGUCUUACCAUGCAGCAGGUGGGGGCAACUUUCCAUUUUGGUGGCAUCUUAGUCAGUAGGGGCGGCUGAUGACUCUCAACUCAUUGCAGUGCUGAAGUCGAGAGUAACAAAUAACCUCUAGUGAGGAGCUAUGUUGCCAGCCAGGCAGCAGCCCAUAAAGUUGUCAGUGCUUCCUACUCUGUGUCAGGAGCCCUGCUUGGUGCAGGAAUAGCAGCAGCAGCACUAGCACACCUCAAACCCUCCCGCUUUAGCAAGAAAAUCAACAACCUGCUCUACUGAACUCUGAGGACGUUUUAUCAGAAACAUUCUCCAACGUUGCCUGCUGGAGUCAAUGUUUUAGAGCGCUGUGAUCUUUUAGUUACCAAAAGGAAUUGUCCCUGUUAUAACUGGAGUAUUCAGCUGGAAAUUGUAUCAGAAGAAGAAAAACACUCAAAAAUCAGACAUAUAAAGGCUCAGUAAAAUAUUCUAUGAAUUUCUACAUCAUACAUACAAACAACAUGUGUUCAAAUCAUCAGAGGUCAGAACUGGGCUGCAGGCUCUUGCCCCAGGGUAAUGCUGAACUAGAUAGCUUAUUCUGCCCUGCCUGAGUUUUUGUCCUUUCUAUAAACAACAAAGUGCUCUAGGGAGUCAUUCAGAUGCCAGUAAGUGCUGGGACUUCCUAAGGCAAGCAAGCAUAACUUUGUGCUUAUGCUUCUGAAGCAGGUCACCGUCCUCUGAAACAGGUCUCUGGGCACAGAGGGUUCCCAGACUGUUCUGUGAUGUCUGUAAUUCAUGAAAUGAAGUAAAACAUGUCACACCCUUUCUAAGAAUCACUAUCAAAUUAUUUCAGUGACUGAAGAGGAAGAUUACAGAAUCACACAAAAUCACAGAAUUGGAGCGGUUGGAACGGACCUCAAGAUAUCAUCAAGUCCAUUUCAUCUGCUAAAGCCGGUUCCCAUUCCUGCUUCUUUUUUCUAACUCUCAUUCUGUCCCUAACAUUUCCUUUCAGAGAUCUCAUUUAUUCCCUGGACAACCUAACCUGCAUUUUCAUAAGUAAAGUAGCAUUAUUUUAUUGAUGCUACUUACGUAUAUUCCUAUUCUGGGCCAUCUCUUGAGAGAUUCACAGAGCCAGUCUAAGUAGGGACGCAUCCUAAUAGUUGAGUAAAUUUCUGGUUUUGUUUGUGAAGGACUUCUCUCCAACAUGAUUUAAAUCUGGAAGAAAGAAAUGUUAAACAAACCUAUGUUGCAUUUCCUGUCCAGUUACAAAGAGAAAGCAAACCCUGUGCAUCCUGGAACACAGGUAUGAGCUGUUAAAACUAUUCUCUUAAAUGCAACGCCUGUUUGCACUUUGAAACUGUGAGUUAUCAGUAGUUCUGUUGCUUUGAACAAGAGAGCCAGUGUGCUACACCUGCACUGCCACUGUAUACAGAAAGACUGUCACAAUCAGGCAAAUGAAUACUGAUUUCUUUUCCAAGUAAAUUAUGAGAUCAUAAAGGACCAUCAGAAUGUUCAGGAAUAUCUUUUGACCCAGGCUUCCUAAAACAGCCUUCUCAGUCCAAGUUUGAUGAUGACACAGGGCUGAGUGGUGCAUUCGACACAAUAGAAAAGAGAGACAUCAUCCAGAGGGACCUGGACAUGCUCAAAAAUUGUGCACAUGAGAAUCUAACAAGGUUUAAUAAGGCCAAGUGCAAGGUGUUCCACUUGGGUUGAGGCAAUCCCAGAUGUUUCCUGCUUGACCAAACUAGUGACCUUUUAUGAUAGCGUCACUGCAUCAAUGGACAAGGGAAGAACCACUAAUAUCAUCUCUCUGGACUUCAGUAAGGCCUUUGACACAGUACCCCACAACAUCCUUCUCUCCAAAUUGGAAAGAUGUGGAUUUGAUGGGUGGAUUGCUCAGUGGAUGAAGAACUGGCUGUAGGUUUGAGACCAGAGAGUGGUGGUCAAUGGCUCAAUGUCUGGAUGGAGAUCAGUGAUGAGUGGUGUCCUUCAGGGGUCAGUGCUGGGAACGAUUCUCUUUAAUAUCUUCAUCAAUGACAUUGACUGUGGGGUCAAGUGCACCCUCAGCAAGUUUGCUGAUGAUUCUAUGUAGGAUGCAGUUGAUACACCUGAGGGACAGGAUGCCAUUCAGAGGGACCUAACGGGCUUGAACCGUGGGCCCAGAUGAACAUCAUGAGGUUCAACAAAUCCAAAUGCAAGGUCUUGCACCUAGGUGGAGGCAACAUCCACUACCAGUACAAGCUGAGGGAUGAAAGGAUUGAGCACAAUCCUGCUGAAAAAGACCACAGGGUACUGGUGGAUGGGAAGUUGGACAUAAGCCAGCAAUGUACCCUUACAGCCCAGUAAGCCAGCAAUAUCUGGGCUGCAUCAAAAGAAGUGUGGCCCACAGGUUGAGGGAGGUGAUCCCACCCCCUACUCUGCUCUGGUGAAGCCUCACCUGGAGUACUGCAUCCAGAUGUGAAAUCCUCACUACAGAAGAAAGACAGACCUGCUGGAGCACGUUCAGAGGAGGGCCACACAAAUGAUCCAAUGGAUGGGACACCUCUCCUACGAGGACAGGCUGAGAGAGCUGGGGCUGUUCAGCCUGGACAAGAGAAGGUUCCGAGGUGACCUGGCAACAAGCUAAAUUAACUAAACAAAUUUGUGGCCCACACAGAAAGGUCCGUUACCUCCACUCCUUACCUUUUAUUGUAUGUUUGUAUGUUUCUGCCAGUAAAGCACUGGGAAAAAAAAAAGAAAAAAAAAAAAAAAAAGAAGGUGGUUGUAAUCAGAUCAUUGGCUAAAACAACUGAUCAAUAACAACUGCAUAUGCUGCAAAGAGCCUUUAAUGGCUCUUAAUCCCCAUUAGGCUGAGCUGGAGGAAGUUGGAGGGGAAACUGCAUCACAUUUCAACCAUUUAUAGCAGCAUACUGGUACUUGAGCAGCUUUCAGGGAAUGGGAGCACUUGUUUUGAGGUGCUCUGGGACAACCAUCAGUAGGAUAGGAAACUAUUGCAUCAUUAUCAUCCAGGAAAUGCUUUGGGGACCCUCCAGAGAAUUGAUUCCAAGGCUUAUAAUUUUUUAACAACAGUCUAUGUUGGGUCAACCAGCAGAACAGAAGCAUAAGAAGCUUUCUGCCACUGGCAACUAAACAUGUUUUGGGACAUAUUUAACUCAGUUUAUGAAAUCAAAAAGGUCCAGUUUUAAUCAUGUAUGCCACUGUACUACCUCUAGGAGCAUCUCCUUCCAAAAACGAUGCAUCUUCCUGACGUGUUUCAGUGAGGUCAUGUGAUGACAAAAGUUUCUAUAUGUACUUGCUUUGUUUCUGCAAUAAACUGAAUAAAAUAUGUACACCAAUGUUACUGGUCGCUUGAGAAUGUGUUCUUUUAUCUCACAUGUAACUCCUCUGCUUUGAAAUGACUCUACAUGUACAUCUCUUCAGCCUGUAUAUUUUGUAUAGCAAAGACAAAAGACCAAAAUUCAAAAUAAGAACCUAUAUAAAAUAUGUAGCACCCAAUCCAUAGAUACUACAUGUUAUCACAGGGUUCAAUACAAAAUCUUAGUGAAUUCAAUAUUAAGUUUGCCUAAGUUUAUCUUAUUCUUGCACUGUACUGACAUUCAAUAAAUCUUAUUUCACUGAUUGGAUCUAGAGCUUAACUAAUGUCUGUCUCUCUUUAACAAGGGAAUUGCACCAGCAAGUGGACUACAGGAAUAUCUGUGGGUCUUUUGAUGGAUUGAGGAAGUCUAGUGUUAAAUGACUUAGUUUGUAGAAUUUUGUGGGAACUUCAAAAGGAAAGUAGGAG
ensembl:lncRNA